UGUGUAGCCUAGGCUAUUGGCAUCAGGACAUUCCAAACCUAUGACAUCACAUAGGCCACAGCUGGACCUGCGACCUCCAGACCGGUUGCCAAGACAACAGGCACCAUCUUCCCAGCAUUCACUUGGCUCACCUUCCACCUUUGUGUUAUUUUCUACUUAAAUAAGGAGAACGCCCCUUCCUCGCGCUCUCUCCCCUUCUUUUCUUUCCGCUGCCACCUUGCCCUUUUCCCCUCUCAAUAGACCUCCCGUGGAACUUUUUGGCCUUGUGUGGAGCUGCCGCUGCCGAUACCAGCAUUGGUGCUGUGACUUUGGUGGUCGUUACACAGGGGAGCUGUAGAACCCGGGCGGCCGCCGGCGCCACCGCCACCGGUGCGACCAUAACACUGCCACCGCCUGCAGCCACUGCUACACCAUGUGGACUCCAUCUGCUAGCACCUGCCAUAAUCUCCCGCGUGGAUUUCCAUUGCUUCGAGACUCACAGGUUUCUACCACGUGGGAUGUGCCUCCGUGGACUACCACGUGGAACUGGCCUCUGGCCAGCCAACCAAAGGGUUCCACACUUCCUGCUACCGGACUGCAGAAUCCUGCAAACACACACCGGCAUACUGGUUGUUUCUCUUAGACAUGAAACCUACACAGCCUCCACUAGAUGACGCUACAACGUUCGAUCCCGCCAACAAGCCACCUCCGGGCCCCCGCAGACCCGCCGCCUCAGUUUCUCCUCACCAGAGCCAACUUCUCCAGCCCCUUCCCCUCCUAUCUCACGUUCUAAGUCCACAGCCAGAACCCCCAAGUCGUCCUCCUCCUCCAGGAAAACCUGACCCAGCAGCGGCCCGUCCUCUAGGGGAAGUGGCUGGUGUUGAUGAUCUGGUCAGAGUACAGGUUUCUUUCUCCCUAAGUGAGCUUUCUCAAAUAGGAAGCAGACUGAGUUCUUUUUUUUUUUUUUUUUUUUAAAGAUUUA
rnacentral:lncRNA from 1 species